GGGGCCGUAGCUCAGUUGGUUAGAGCGGCGGACUCAUAAUCCGUUGGUCGCAGGUUCGAGCCCUGCCGGCCCCA
rnacentral:tRNA from 1 species